GUCAUCGUAGAAGAGUACAGAGAUGGGACUGAGCUUGGUGGGUGCGCAGCACGCUUUGGGAACCUCAUCCGGCUUCAGAAGGUGAACCUGCCAUUGAAAACGGGUUCGUGAUCGUCGACAGGUGGACAGCGACAGCAAAGAGGAAACAACUGUCCUGGAUGAGGUCCAGUUGGAUGUGCCAUUGGAUGAUUUGCCAGAUGUUCCACAGCUGCCAGACCUCCUUGAUGUCCAG